rnacentral:rRNA from 1 species
GACGAACGCUGGCGGCGUGCUUAACACAUGCAAGUCGAACGGAAGGGCCCUGCUUUUGCGGGGUGCUCGAGUGGCGAAGGGGUGAGUAACACGUGAGUAACCUGCCCUUGACUUUGGGAUAACUUCAGGAAACUGGGGCUAAUACCGGAUAGGAGCUCCUGCUGCAUGGUGGGGGUUGGAAAGUUUCGGCGGUUGGGGAUGGACUCGCGGCUUACCAGCUUGUUGGGGGGGUAGUGGCUUACCAAGGCUUUGACGGAUAGCCGGCCUGGGAGGGGGGCCGGGGACAAUGCUCCUGAGGUACGGCCCAGACUGGAACGUGAGGCAGCAGGGGAAAGUCUUACACAAUGGGGGGACGCCUGUUACGACAACGCUGGGAGCGGGAUGACCGCCUUCGGGUUAUAAACCGCUUUCGCCUGUGACGAAGCGUGAGUGACGGUACUGAGUAAAGAAGCACCGGCUAACUACGUG